rnacentral:pre_miRNA from 1 species
AGGAGGAACAGCCCCAGUGGCGGGGCAGCUCUGGGAACCUGGAUUCAGCCCCCGCAGGAACUACUCCGUCUGCAGGGCCUGGAGGCUCCGGGGCGGG